CAAUCAUCUGCUAUAUAAUAUUAAGUCUUGGCAACACUGACCAGACUUUUGCUCAUCGCAGUUUUGAUCUUGGUUGGCGACGGUGCGCCAUAUUGAAUUUAGUUGUUUCCUUGUAAAACGAAGACUCAUCAAUUCAACCAGGGGAACCGGAAAACCGUCACGGCUUUAUAUUACCGUCAGGAAUAUGGAUACCUGCGGCGCAGCUAAACCGGCCUGCAAUAAACAAACGUCUUCAUAAUCAACAUCUUGGCAAUCGUGGCCGUCAGCUGCUGAAUAUUCAUCGAACAGUUCGGAAGCGGUGAACGAAGGUAACGCCAUGAAUUGGACCACAGGAUGUACACGGAACAUACCGUUCUCCAACGGAUUCACGUCGAAAACAACAAAGAAGUUCAGGUGGAUUGAGAUAAUCCGUCGGAAAUCGUUGCGGGAUAACCUCGCCACAACGGGAAUCCAUUGGGGAUUC